rnacentral:rRNA from 1 species
AACGAACGCUGGCGGCAUGCCUAACACAUGCAAGUCGAACGAGACCUUCGGGUCUAGUGGCGCACGGGUGCGUAACGCGUGGGAACCUGCCCUUAGGUUCGGAAUAACUCCCCGAAAGGGGUGCUAAUACCGGAUAAUGUCUUCGGACCAAAGAUUUAUCGCCUUUGGAUGGGCCCGCGUUGGAUUAGCUAGUUGGUAGGGUAAAAGCCUACCAAGGCGACGAUCCAUAGCUGGUCUGAGAGGAUGAUCAGCCACACUGGGACUGAGACAGGCCCAGACUCCUACGGGAGGCAGCAGUGGGGAAUAUUGGACAAUGGGCGAAAGCCUGAUCCAGCAAUGCCGCGUGAGUGAUGAAGGCCUUAGGGUUGUAAAGCUCUUUUACCCGGGAUGAUAAUGACAGUACCGGGAGAAUAAGCUCCGGCUAACUCCGUG